GAUGAAGAACGCAGUGAAAUGCGAUAAGUAAUGUGAAUUGCAGAAUUCAGUGAAUCAUCGAAUCUUUGAACGCACAUUGCGCCCGCCAGUAUUCUGGCGGGCAUGCCUGUUCGAGCGUCAUUACAACCCUCAGGCCCCCGGGCCUGGCGUUGGGGAUCGGCGGAGCCCCCCGUGGGCACACGCCGUCCCCCAAAUACAGUGGCGGUCCCGCCGCAGCUUCCCUCGCGUAGUAGCUAACACCUCGCGACUGGAGAGCGGCGCGGCCACGCCGUAAAACACCCAACUCUUCUGAAGUUGACCUCGAAUCAGGUAGGAAUACCCGCUGAACUUAAGCAUAUCAAUAAGCGGAGGA
rnacentral:misc_RNA from 1 species